rnacentral:rRNA from 1 species
GAUGAACGCUAGCUACAGGCUUAACACAUGCAAGUCGAGGGGAAACGACAUCGAAAGCUUGCUUUUGAUGGGCGUCGACCGGCGCACGGGUGAGUAACGCGUAUCCAACCUGCCCACCACUUGGGGAUAACCUUGCGAAAGUAAGACUAAUACCCAAUGAUAUCCCACGAAGACAUCUGAAUGGGAUUAAAGAUUUAUCGGUGAUGGAUGGGGAUGCGUCUGAUUAGCUUGUUGGCGGGGUAACGGCCCACCAAGGCAACGAUCAGUAGGGGUUCUGAGAGGAAGGUCCCCCACAUUGGAACUGAGACACGGUCCAAACUCCUACGGGAGGCAGCAGUGAGGAAUAUUGGUCAAUGGGCGAGAGCCUGAACCAGCCAAGUAGCGUGCAGGAAGACGGCGCUAUGGGUUGUAAACUGCUUUUAUAAGGGAAUAAAGUGGGUCACGUGUGACUUUUUGCAUGUACCUUAUGAAUAAGGACCGGCUAAUUCCGUG